rnacentral:rRNA from 1 species
UUAGUUUCUGGACGACUAGCCAUGCUAGUUGCACGAGUUCAGACUCGUAGCGAAUAGCUCAGUAACACGUGGCCCAAUUACCCUUCGGAGCACCAUACCCUCGGGAAACUGAGGCUAAUAGUGCAUACCACAGUCCACCUGGAAUGAGGACUGUGCCAAACGCUCCGGCGCCGAAAGAUGUGGCUGCGGACGAUUAGGUAGACGGUGGGGUAACGGCCCACCGUGCCAAUAAUCGGUACGGGUGGUGAGAGCCAGAACCCGGAGACGGAAUCUGAGACAAGAUUCCGGGCCCUACGGGGCGCAGCAGGCGCGAAACCUUUACACUGCACGACAGUGCGAUAAGGGGAUCCCAAGUGCGUAGGCUUAGAGCCUACGCUUUUGUCCACCGUAGGGAGGUGGACGAAUAAGGGCUGGGCAAGACCGGUGCCAGCCGCCGCGGUAAUACCGGCAGCCCAAGUGAUGGCCGAUCUUAUUGGGCCUAAAGCGUCCGUAGCUGGCCGCGCAAGUCCAUCGGGAAAUCCACCCGCCCAACGGGUGGCCGUCCGGUGGAAACUGCGUGGCUUGUGACCGGAAGGCGCGACGGGUACGUCCGGGGUAGGAGUGAAAUCCCGUAAUCCUGGACGGACCGCCGAUGGCGAAAGCACGUCGCGAGAACGGAUCCGACAGUGAGGGACGAAAGCCAGGGUCUCGAACCGGAUUAGAUA